AGUGAACGCUGGCGGCAGGCCUAACACAUGCAAGUCGAGCGGCAGCGCGUCCGACCACCCUCGGGUGGUUGGAUGGCGGCGAGCGGCGGACGGGUGAGGAAUGCAUCGGAAUCUGCCUCGUUGUGGGGGAUAACGUAGGGAAACUUACGCUAAUACCGCAUACGACCUACGGGUGAAAGUGGGGGACCUUCGGGCCGUCACGCGAUGAGAUGAGCCGAUGCCGGAUUAGCUAGUUGGCGGGGGUAAAGGCCCACCAAGGCGACGAUCCGUAGCUGGUCUGAGAGGAUGAUCAGCCACACUGGAACUGAGACACGGUCCAGACUCCUACGGGAGGCAGCAGUGGGGAAUAUUGGACAAUGGGGGCAACCCUGAUCCAGCCAUGCCGCGUGUGUGAAGAAGGCCUUC
rnacentral:rRNA from 1 species